CAGUCGCCGCGGUAAUACGUAGGGUGCGAGCGUUAAUCGGAAUUACUGGGCGUAAAGCGUGCGCAGGCGGUUUUGUAAGGCAGGCGUGAAAUCCCCGGGCUCAACCUGGGAAUGGCGCUUGUGACUGCAAAGCUAGAGUGCGGCAGAGGGGGAUGGAAUUCCGCGUGUAGCAGUGAAAUGCGUAGAUAUGCGGAGGAACACCGAUGGCGAAGGCAAUCCCCUGGGCCUGCACUGACGCUCAUGCACGAAAGCGUGGGGAGCAAACAGGAUUAGAUACCCGCGUAGUCCCUGUCUCUUAUAC
rnacentral:rRNA from 1 species